AAUACUUUUAUGUCACAUCAGUACUUUUAUCCUGAAUUUCAGAAUUUUAUACUGAAAAAAAUCAAAUCCAAAUUAAAAUACUAAAAUUCAGAAUAAGAAUACUGAUGUGGCAUAAAACUAUU
rnacentral:pre_miRNA from 1 species